rnacentral:rRNA from 1 species
UACGGAGGAUGCGAGCGUUAUCCGGAUUUAUUGGGUUUAAAGGGUGCGUAGGCGGAUUUUUAAGUCAGCGGUAAAAUGUCCGGGCUCAGCCCGGGCCGGCCGUUGAAACUGGGGAUCUUGAGUGGGCGAGAAGUAUGCGGAAUGCGUGGUGUAGCGGUGAAAUGCAUAGAUAUCACGCAGAACUCCGAUUGCGAAGGCAGCAUACCGGCGCCCGACUGACGCUGAGGCACGAAAGCGUGGGGAUCGAACAGG